GACGAACGCUGGCGGUGUGCUUAACACAUGCAAGUCGAACGGUAAGGCCCUUUCGGGGGUACACGAGUGGCGAACGGGUGAGUAACACGUGAGUAACCUGCCCUCAUCUCUGGGAUAACAGUCGGAAACGGUUGCUAAUACUGGAUAUGAGCUUGCAAGGCAUCUUGUGGGUUGGAAAGAUUUUUUUUGGUUGGGGAUGGACUCGCGGCCUAUCAGCUUGUUUGUGAGGUAGUGGCUCACCAAGGCUUCGACGGGUAGCCGGCCUGAGAGGGCGACCGGCCACAUUGGGACUGUGAUACGGCCCAAACUCCUACGGGAGGCAGCAGUGGGGAAUAUUGCACAAUGGACGGAAGUCUGAUGCAGCAACGCCGCGUGCGGGAUGACGGCCUUCGGGUUGUAAACCGCUUUCAAUUGUGACGAAGCUUUUUUGUGACGGUAGCAGUAGAAGAAGCACCGGCUAACUACGUG
rnacentral:rRNA from 1 species